GUGUUAUUGGUCCUGAAAGCGUGCAAACAUCCGGCCUGAAGACUCUCUCCCUCUAACCCUAAUACGACGUAGACUAACCCACAAAGAUCGUCUAUCAUCUUCAUGCGGCCGGAGGCGGUGACGUUUGCGCUUCUUCUCAUGACUGUAACGGACUUCUUUAUGGAUUCGUCUUUAAUCCUGUUGAUUUAUUCUCCCAGGAUGUGUCUUUGAGGUGUUGAUUAGGAUCUCCGGUUAAGCGAGGCGGCGAGGGUCGACAUGCUCCUCCUGUACGCCAAGGCGACUCUCACCCAAGCCACCAGGAACGUGUCCACCGCUGAACACAUUCAGGCAUCUUUUCAAUGUACUAUGUUAGCGACUUUGAGGUAACACGGAGCAAUUUGAACUUCAAGCUGUCCAACUCUCCUCUCUCGAUCCGGUUCAAUAGUGGUGUGUCUGUCACUAUGAUGAGUGUAUUCGACUCUCACGCUGUAUCGUUUCACAAACAGCUUGAGGGCUACAAGGUUGAAUCACGUGUGGUUGUUCCAACAUGCAUUAAUCUGAAGCUUAUAGGAGGUCGUUUGUUCCUCAAUGCCACGCCUGGAACUCAUUUCUAUUUUGACAAGGAGUCUGAAUCUGGCGGGAGUUUCAGUCUCCUGUUCUCGAACAGCUGUACCUAACACAAUGCCAUCAUCCCCUGUUCUCGCAGAGGCAGCACAGAGCCAUGGGUAUACCACCAUCUGAACCUGCAGCCACUAACGGUCUCUCCAUUGACCUCCGUCUAGCGUUUCAGCGACCUUAUGACUAGAUGCCAUGCCCUGGUAGCGGCAACGUCCAAGCACACUAUAUUCUAGGAACUCUAGAAUUAUUUCUGUUCGGAAAAUGAAGAGGCUUCAAUAUAAUGUCAAGAAGGCUUAAAAUGAAAGAGAAAGUGAUGCAUCUCAACGAAGCUGGCUCUGUUAUUUAUAGGUGUUGUUUAUUUCCGACCAAUCUUUGUUCGAAGCCAGUGCUUGUGUCUAUCACUUGAUGUUCUGCUUACAGACGUUGUGAUAAUUUAUCUUUUAGCCAUUGGGGGAGAGUGAUGAUCAUCACCAUCAGAGGAGCCACGAGCAAGCAUGAGGAGGCAGAGGGCGAGAUAUUCUUCUUCGGAAGAAGCGUCAGACUGAUCUAUGAUUCGGUGUCGUUUUGUACGUUUUGUUUUGGUCCACGAGUCAAGAUUCUCCGACUCGAUAAGGAAAGGAGGAGGAGCGGUGGUCGUUGUGGAGGUCGGAGAAUUGAAUGUGUCGAGAGCCAUCGUCUUUGAUUGGUUGAAUUGUAAGAGAAAAAAAGAAUAAGAAUAGAGAUAGUGAAGUGAGCUGGUGAGUGAGUGAGAGAUGAGAUGUGAACACGUCUUUGUUAUAAUUUUUGGGUGAUUAAGAGUGGGAACGUGGGCUCUAAGUGAUCAAGUGGUGUUUCUUCUCAAUGUUCAAAAAAAAAAAAAAAGUGGUGUUUCUUCUCA